rnacentral:lncRNA from 1 species
GAAAAGAAGAAACAAUUGGCAAUGUCUACACAUCGAUCGACACUUUCAAAACCUCAAUCGACAUCGUCUACAAUUCGACAUCCCCCACGGAAUCAAAAGCAAAAUCAAGUGCAUAAACUUCAACGCCAAGCUCAACCAAAGCCUCAACCGAAGAAACCACCAACGAUUGAUCGAAAGACUAAACAAACGGCACCUAACGUCAACAAGCCGAGAAAACCAAUGAUCCGACAAGUUUGGAUCCGGAAAGGUGAUAUCUUUCCUUGCUCCUCGUCUUAGUCAUUUUGAUCUUUAGUGUAAUGCUUUGAUAGGUGCUUGUUGCUUAUUUUUAUUCAUUGCAUUACAUGUUUACAUGAUGUUUUGGUGUUUGAAUUUUAUUGGUUUAAAUCUUUUUGAGGAAAGGUAUUUCGGAAUUAAAAUUUUUGAGAAAGGAGAUGAUUGAGAAUCUUUAUUUUUAUUGCAUCGAGAUUUGUGGUUUUUGGCCGUUA